ACGGAGCUAGGCUUCUUUGGAGGGGGCCAUGCCCCCCCCAAGAUUUUAAAAUUUAUCAAGUACCAAGGCUCAUCCACUUGAAUUGUGAGAUAAUAUUAUGUAUGUGCAGAAAUAAAUUGGGGUUUAAAAUUGUUGAUACGAGGAGUUAUCAAUUCAAUCUAUGUUUGUUUAUGUGUUAUAAUUUUUCAUUGCGUAUUUGCGUUGUUAGAUUUAUUUUUAUUGAGAUUUAUAUGCACUCCCAAGUCUCAAAUAAUGCUAGGAAUUAGGAUUGGCGGAGAUAAUGGACUGUUUCGUAAAUACAGUGGGACCUAUGGUUAGAAGAAAUAAUGCCCGGAAUUAGGAUUAGUGGGAAUUAUUUUCUAGAAUUGGGACUUGGAAAGCUCAAUGGCAUAGCCUUUGGCUGAAAGUUUGAUUUUGGCCCCCCGCAAGAUCAAAU
rnacentral:lncRNA from 1 species